rnacentral:rRNA from 1 species
AUUGAACGCUGGCGGCAGGCCUAACACAUGCAAGUCGAACGGUAGCACAGAGGAGCUUGCUCCUUGGGUGACGAGUGGCGGACGGGUGAGUAAUGUCUGGGAAACUGCCCGAUGGAGGGGGAUAACUACUGGAAACGGUAGCUAAUACCGCAUAACGUCUUCGGACCAAAGUGGGGGACCUUCGGGCCUCACACCAUCGGAUGUGCCCAGGUGGGAUUAGCUAGUAGGUGGGGUAAUGGCUCACCUAGGCGACGAUCCCUAGCUGGUCUGAGAGGAUGACCAGCCACACUGGAACUGAGACACGGUCCAGACUCCUACGGGAGGCAGCAGUGGGGAAUAUUGCACAAUGGGCGCAAGCCUGAUGCCGCCAUGCCGCGUGUAUGAAGAAGGCCUUCGGGUUGUAAAGUACUUUCAGCGGGGAGGAAGGCGUUAAGGUUAAUAACCUUGGCGAUUGACGUUACCCGCAGAAGAAGCACCGGCUAACUCCGUGCCAGCAGCCGCGGUAACAC